AGAGAGUGAACUUUACUUUGUUUUUAUGAACUAUGAUCCUGAAUACGAACGUCUUCGAUCCAAAAGAACAAAGAAGGGAAGCUAUGAGCUGGAUGUGUACAUAAGCAAUAAACAUGAUGAGCUGUUAGCAAAUACAUUUGAGGCAGGAAGCUAUAUAAAGAGAUUGUCUUUGGUUAUUGUUGAUGGAUUUGCUGUUGAAAUCACUCAACAUCAGGCUAAUGUGCUUAGAUCUGCAAAAGAAGUGAG
rnacentral:misc_RNA from 1 species